UCAUGUUCACUUUUCCUCCAGUUGAUAUAUGUAUACAUGUUAUCUAUCAGAUCUAUGAAUGCUGUACAUGAGGGAAGAGGCUGUUCAUGUCACUGGUGCCAAGAUGUCAAUUAACAUUCAGGUUCACCUGGAAUUCUUUCAGUACUUAUUGGUGGAUUUAUUUUUGUUACAAGAUGUUGGGGAAAUACAGGAGAUAAAUAAGAUCUUCAAGGUUGGACAUGUUAUUCCUUGCUCUGCUCCUUGGAAUGCAUGCCCCUACCUGCCUGUCAUGUUGGCUAUAGGUUGUUAGAGAAAUAGUAGGAGGUAUAAGGUGUUUUGUAAACAUAACCCUGGGAGGGGAGUUUUGUGACACAUAUCCUGUGGUUCAAAGUGCCUCCCUGGGCAACACUAAAGCCCACCUUAGGUUAAGUCCUACCAGGUGGACAGGCAAUGUGAUGUGAAUAAAACUGUCUGCCAUAUGAGUUUCCAUACUUUUUCUAUUAACCCUGGACCUCAUUAGGAACAUAAGGAGUUCCUUAAGAUCUUAGCAUGAUUAUCAAAAUAGAGUCCAGGACUGAGUAACAUUAGCAUGAAUGUUAUCAUCGGUAGAUGAUAACAAAUUAAUGUGUUACUUUGUCUGCAUGUUACGGUUCUGGAAUGAAAUUCUUAGAGACCUUAUGCCUAACGCAAAAGCUAGAAGACAAAUUUGAAAUCAGGCCUGCAUUUUAUCUGCCUUUAAAUGAGAUCUUAGAAAGACUAUUCAUUUUCUCUGCAUUCCCCCAUAGUCUAUGAAGCCAGACUUUAGGAAAAUAUGACAAAUGAACUAUGUUGGGAGUGAAAGUUAGAGACUGUGAACCAAGGUAUCAGUUUCUGAGAAAAGGAAAUAAUAAAACAUUGGAUAGUUUGGUUUAGCAAAAACAACAAAAGGUCAGAAAGCCCAUUACAAGGUGAUGUCUCAAAUAAUUUGUUCCCACGGAGUUUGUGGUCCCAUAAAACUUGCCUAUAACAUAAACUAGAUCAUCAAGUACUCUGGCCUAGAGAGAAGGCAGUUUUCCAUAAUUGGCAAGAGUGUUUGAAGGGCAAGCUGUGAGUGUAGUGCUGGGAGAUUAGAAGUUGGCAUGAAAAGCUGGUGUGUAAAAGAGAUAGUGAUGUAAAAGAAAGCUACAAUUGGGAGAUGAAUAACACCUUGAUGUAGUGAUUUCUUAUUGCUGGUGUUUGUUUAAAGAAAUAGACAAAAUGCCAUUAAAUACCUUGCCAGGGCUUUUGUUGUCAUUUUGCUUUGUUGUUGUUGUUUUAGUAACAUCUGGAAUUUCUUUAUAAAGAAAAUUGAAUGAUAUAUUCUUAGGACAACAUAUAAACCCAAAUUUUCACACACUGUUCCUCCCAAAACCUACAUAAAGAGCUCCUUAAGAUCUUACUCUGCUUCUAACAAGAUGGCAGACUAUAUCAUGAAACACUGUACGCCCAGCCUUCAAAUGAAAAUGUUAAUACACCAUUUCAGUGAACUAAAAGUUGAUGUGAAUCAGUAAACCUCUUGCAAUGGAAGGACUGGCCGUUUAGAUGAAGGAGGUGCCUGCUGGAUCCAGGACCAAGAUUAUGUGUUUUUACUGAGGUGGUGAAAUUCAAAAUGUCAAGUAUUAAAGGGAAAUGCAAGACAAGCUCUAAAAUGACCAGUGAUGUAGAAACUUAACUCACUAAGUUUAUGAAAAAGCACUAAAUAAAUGAGUCCUAAUUUAUCAUAGUGAAUCUUGUAACAGCAGCAUUUCCACCAUGUUUGACUAUGUUCAAUACAAACUCAAAAUGGCCACACUUGCAAAGCAUAUUUCUUAAUGAAUCCAGCUACAUCCUAUUUAUGCAACUUGAACCCAUGGGAGAACUAUAGACAAUUUAUAUGACAGUUAUUUCACAGGUUUUUUUCUUUGGCAGCUAGAAGACUAAUCAGUUAUUCAAGAACACAACACAUUAUGCAUAAUUAUUUCAUUUCUUUCCCCUUUGCAAAAAAAAUCAUUCACAUAUCAGUAUAGAACAUAUAAACAAAGAAAUAUCCUUGUCAGGAUGUCUACAGAAAGUUAAAAGAAAAAUCUUACAAACAUUGCGAGUAGACAUUACUAUGUAUUGUUUGCUUUGUAAUUUAAGGAAAACAAUGCCAAAAUCAAAAACACAGUGAAGAACUAUUUUCAUUUAUAUAAAGUUUUUUUAAAAAAAACUUCAAAAGGAAAUUUUACUGUGUGAAAUUUAAAUCAUAUAAAAUUUAGAUAUAAAUUUUCAUAAUAUAAUUUAACCUGGAUCAAUCACUAACAGGAUUACUUUAGGAAAAUUACUAAAUUUCUAUUAGCUGCAGUUUCUUCAUCGAUAAGAUUUAUAAAUUAACAAUCACACUAAUUUUUGUCAUACAGUAAUAAUUAAGCUAAAAUGAGAUAAUGUAUAAAAUGAAAGUACUUUACAAACAAUAUAAAAGAAAGAUAUCUGUACUGCUAUCAAGAAACAAGACAAAAACAGUUAAGAAAAAAUGUUAUGUAAAAAUUACUUGACAAUUUUAGGAAACUUGCUUUCAAAGCAUUAGUUGCUAUGCCAACAUUUUCAGUUUGCACUUGGUCAUAUGUUUAGUUUAGACCCUUUAAUAAAAGUAAAAAAUGAUACAAAAUGCAAAUUCAUUUCUCUGCCAUACCAUAGCAUGCUCAGAAAAUCCUUCCAUACCUAUUGAAAUUAAGAGGAUUUAAUCUUAACUGACCAAAGGCCAUAAAUAUAAGUUUAUAAUUGUAGUAAAUUGUAAAUGUUCCUUAGUUUCUUCAUUCCUAGAAUAAAUUUUUGUUUCUGGAAGACUUUUCAAGCAAAGAAAAGAAAAUCAAUAACUAUACUGAACUAUUUUUGUUGGGUUUUCUAGUUUAUGUUGUUGUUGUUAUUGAGGCUGUUUUGUAAGAUUCUGUUUCCUGGGUGCUUUUUUUGUUUUUUGACUCUAGAAUAGGGAUUGGCUGUUAAAUUCCUUGUUUUGCCAAAGCACAUAGGCAAAGGAAUAAGCAAACUAGGAGCUAUGCAUUGAGUAUAGGUAAAUUACUAAUGGAUUUUAAAAGUUGAACAGUAAUACUUACAAAAUGACAUGCCAAAUGUCUAUAUGGUCUGAAAUGGAAUGAAUAGCAUAUAAUUAAAACUGGGGGCUCUGAAAUCAGAUACAUUAAAUUCAAAUAAAGGCUUUGACACUUACUGUGUAAUCUCUGACAAGCAAUUUGCUCUCUAACACUUAAUUUCCUUAUUGUUACUAUGAGGAUAACAACAGUGCCUACCUCAAAGAGUUGUGAGGGUUGAAAAAAAAAAAAAAAAGAAUCCGAGGAAAGCACUUAGACACCAGAUACACAGAAAGCAUUUGGUUUUCCAGUCAUGUCCUUGAAAAUCAUUUCCAAAUGGAAUUUGAAGACUGAGGAAGUUGAUGGAGAAGAGGAAGAAAGUAAGAAUGAUUUCUGAGAACUGUAUUCAACUCAUUGUGUGAGAACUAGCUCGCGAAGAGGAGAACUAAACCUGACUCCACCGUUUUAUCACAGCUGAAUCACUCUAUCAGGACAUCUGGAGAAUAAAUUAAUCUGAAUGGAAACCACUGUGUUUCUUUCAUGAUAUCUUGAUUAAAGAAGGUGAUGUAUUUUCCACAU